rnacentral:rRNA from 1 species
UACGUAGGGUGCAAGCGUUGUCCGGAAUUAUUGGGCGUAAAGAGCUCGUAGGCGGUUUGUCGCGUCUGCUGUGAAAACGCGAGGCUCAACCUCGCGCCUGCAGUGGGUACGGGCAGACUAGAGGUAGGUAGGGGAGAAUGGAAUUCCCGGUGUAGCGGUGAAAUGCGCAGAUAUCGGGAGGAACACCGGUGGCGAAGGCGGUUCUCUGGGCCUUACCUGACGCUGAGGAGCGAAAGCGUGGGGAGCGAACAGG